CCGGGUGGAGAGAGGCUGGGACCCGGGUGGAGACAGGCUGGGACCCGGGUGGAGAGAGGCUGGGACCCGGGUGGAGAGAGGCUGGGACCCGGGUGGAGACAGGCGGUGCGGGUCGGACAGGGAUGAGUCCCGGCUAAUGAGGAACUGCACACGUGUAAAAGUGUCUACAAAAUGCAGGCGAACCCCGGGCGAGACAAAUACAGUUUACAGGAUCUUUACAGAGUCUCAGAGUCGCGGCGAGACGGGAAACAGCGGCAGCAGCCAUCUUGGAUCAAAGGCUGCUUGGUUGUGAGCAGGCGACCCCAAAGAUGGCGGCCACACUUUCACCAAACACGUACACUCUGGAUUAUGUGCAGCCCCAAAAAAAUAAAAUGAAAUAAAUGAAAUAAAAUGAAACAAAAUACACUGUACAUCGACUCUUCCUCCUAAUGUGUUAAACUAUGAAAUGGAAAUAAAUGUACAUAUGAAUCUUUCAUCUAAAUAAGUGCCGGGCUCGUUUACAGGUCAAAGACGAUAAAAAUAAAUGUGUAACUCUA